GGUUCAUCUGUGUUCCAACACGUGUCAGCUUCAUUUCUUCCGUGGAAAAAGAAAACAAAUGGGUCCAUGAGAAGAUAUUAGAAGAUAUUACAAAUCUGGAGUCUGAGAAGAUAUUACAAAUCUGGAGUAUGGCUGAGAACAAGAGAGCAACUAAGAGCCUGAGACCCACCACGCCCUACCUUCCAGGAUGGAUCCUGAGACAUUGUGCUUAGGGCUCUGGCACUCAUGAAAGGACAGAUGUCCCUCACAGGAGGUACUUGGAGUGAAAGCCACAGAGACAGAAAGAACGCACCCAUUCCCAGUUUGGCUUCUGAGUCCUCAAUUCCCACAGCAAUCAGCCAGUAUCACCUGAUACCCUUCCCAGGGUUGGGGUACACUCUGGUUGAUAUGACAAUGCCCACUGUGCUGGGGUUCCUUGAAACGGCACAGAGGUGAGCCUUCUUCCGGGGGACUCGGCUUCAGAGGGUCACUGUGGCUGCAUCUCUUCGAGUCUAACACACCAUCUUCCUCCGACGUGCCUUGUGUUGAAAACACUAUUUCCACGUCCUUCCACUCUGGCGGUUCCUCGUGGAGAUUGGAGAUUUGCCCACAGGCCUGCACACCAGCCUUUCCCCGCAGGCCGCUGGAGCCUCCACGUCCAGCUGCUGAGUGCUGACGGUACAGAAUGGAUUCCUCGUGUCCAUCCCCUUUCGCCUUUCCUGCCACGUUUUAGAAACCGCUUUCUUGAGGUGCAUUUUGCACGUAAUAAAAGUCACUCUACUCCCACAGA